rnacentral:rRNA from 1 species
GACGAACUCUGGCGGCGCGCCUAACACAUGCAAGUCGAACGAGCGAGAGAGAGCUUGCUUUCUCAAGCGAGUGGCGAACGGGUGAGUAACGCGUGAGGAACCUGCCUCAAAGAGGGGGACAACAGUUGGAAACGACUGCUAAUACCGCAUAAGCCCACGACCCGGCAUCGGGUAGAGGGAAAAGGAGCAAUCCGCUUUGAGAUGGCCUCGCGUCCGAUUAGCUAGUUGGUGAGGUAAUGGCCCACCAAGGCGACGAUCGGUAGCCGGACUGAGAGGUUGAACGGCCACAUUGGGACUGAGACACGGCCCAGACUCCUACGGGAGGCAGCAGUGGGGAAUAUUGCACAAUGGGGGAAACCCUGAUGCAGCGACGCCGCGUGGAGGAAGAAGGUCUUCGGAUUGUAAACUCCUGUUGUUGAGGAAGAUAAUGACGGUACUCAACAAGGAAGUGACGGCUAACUACGUGCCAGCAGCCGCGGUAAAACGUAGGUCACAAGCGUUGUCCGGAAUUACUGGGUGUAAAGGGAGCGCAGGCGGGAAGACAAGUUGGAAGUGAAAUCCAUGGGCUCAACCCAUGAACUGCUUUCAAAACUGUUUUUCUUGAGUAGUGCAGAGGUAGGCGGAAUUCCCGGUGUAGCGGUGGAAUGCGUAGAUAUCGGGAGGAACACCAGUGGCGAAGGCGGCCUACUGGGCACCAACUGACGCUGAGGCUCGAAAGUGUGGGUAGCAAACAGGAUUAGAUACCCUGGUAGUCCACACUGUAAACGAUGAUUAAUAGGUGUUGGAGGAUUGACCCCUUCAGUGCCGCAGUUAACACAAUAA